rnacentral:lncRNA from 1 species
AGCUUUUUAGUGGUGGGACUGGUUUACUUAGGAAGUACUAAUAUUAGGGUAAGAGAAUGUGCAGUAAAAGUGAACUAGAGGACGCGCAAUGUGCGGGGAGGCAGAAUGGUCUGGCACACAUGGCUUUGCAACACAAAGAGUGUCCUAUGGCACCUUAUGCCGAAGUACUGAAGAUGCCGCUGGCUCAUGUGUUAGUCGCUCUGACGGAGUCAAAAGAUGGAGGGUAGGUGGAGAGGGGUCGCCGCAAGGAUAAAGUUGAGCUAGGGCUCAUGGCUGCAACAACGAACCUAAGCAAGUAUGUCGACACACAUCCUACUAAAGCCUUUCCAAAGUUAGGAUUGAUGUUGAGAAAGUGAAACAAGAAAUGACACACCUCUUAAAGUGUGUCGUUAUUGCUUACUUUGUUGGAGGCAGCCAAACAAUGAAACACACUCAUGAUUAGCUGAGAGCUCU